UACGACUACAUAUCAGGCAUAUCAAUAAGCGGAGGAAAAGAAACUAACAAGGAUUCCCUUAGUAACGGCGAGUGAAGCGGGAAGAGCUCAAAUUUGAAAUCUUCAAGGUUCUACCUUGACGAAUUGUAGUUUAUAGAAGUGUUUUCUGUAGUGGAGUUUGGUAAAAGUUCUUUGGAAUAGGACAUCAUAGAGGGUGAGAAUCCCGUAUUUGACCGUUAUUUUCAGCUGUGUGAUACACUUUCAAAGAGUCGGAUUGUUUGGGAAUGCAGUCCAAAAUGGGUGGUAAAUUUCAUCUAAAGCUAAAUAUUGGCGAGAGACCGAUAGCGAACAAGUACCGUGAGGGAAAGAUGAAAAGAACUUUGAAAAGAGAGUUAAACAGUACGUGAAAUUGUCAAAAGGGAAGCGUUUGACACCAGUGUUGUUUUCUCGAAAAUCAAUUAAGAAUGGCGGGAUUUUGUGUUGUAUUGACUUUAUCAGCUUUCUGCACUUUUUUCUUGUCUUUUUUAAUGCACUUUUCGUUUAACAAGUCAACAUCAAUUUCUUUUGUUGUAAAAGGGUCAUUGGAAGGUGGCUUUCACUUCGGUGCAAGUGUUUAUAGCCUUUGACUUCUGCAAUCGGAGAGAUUGAGGUCUGCAGCGUAGAUCCUUCGGGGUUAGAUACAUUUGUGCUAAGUUAUAGUUUUUCAUAGACAACAUGUUGACUAUGAUUAGUCUUGUAGCUUACUCGCUUAUGCUAUUUUACCUACGCUUAGGAUGUUGAACGCGCACAGAGUCUC
rnacentral:rRNA from 1 species